rnacentral:misc_RNA from 1 species
AACCUCAAUCCCCCAGGGUUCUGCUCUGUUGGGUGAUUGGAUUUGGGCGUUGCCGGCCUGGCCGGCUCGCCUUAAAGGCGUUAGUGGGAUCAGUAAACCCGAUCGGCGUAAUAAGUUUCGCUGAGGAGGUUUGCGCGAGCCCGCUCACAACCCUCUCCUUUGGAGAACACUCUUUUG